ensembl:miRNA Gm26119 predicted gene, 26119
AGACACCUCUCCUCUGGCAAGGAAGGUGCCUGGAUGUCUCGAGCCCAAAUAGGGCUCUGCCUCAGAGGCUCUGUGGCUCCCGCCUGUCCCAGAAGCUGUUAGCU